GAUGAACCACUUCGGUGGGGAUUAGUGGCGAACGGGUGAGUAACACGUGGGCAAUCUGCCCUGCACUCUGGGACAAGCCCUGGAAACGGGGUCUAAUACCGGAUACUGAUCACUGCAGGCAUCUGUGGUGUUCGAAAGCUCCGGCGGUGCAGGAUGAGCCCGCGGCCUAUCAGCUUGUUGGUGAGGUAAUGGCUCACCAAGGCGACGACGGGUAGCCGGCCUGAGAGGGCGACCGGCCACACUGGGACUGAGACACGGCCCAGACUCCUACGGGAGGCAGCAGUGGGGAAUAUUGCACAAUGGGCGAAAGCCUGAUGCAGCGACGCCGCGUGAGGGAUGACGGCCUUCGGGUUGUAAACCUCUUUCAGCAGGGAAGAAGCGAAAGUGACGGUACCUGCAGAAGAAGCGCCGGCUAACUACGUGCCAGCAGCCGCGGUAAUACGUAGGGCGCGAGCGUUGUCCGGAAUUAUUGGGCGUAAAGAGCUCGUAGGCGGCUUGUCACGUCGGUUGUGAAAGCCCGGGGCUUAACCCCGGGUCUGCAGUCGAUACGGGCAGGCUAGAGUUCGGUAGGGGAGAUCGGAAUUCCUGGUGUAGCGGUGAAAUGCGCAGAUAUCAGGAGGAACACCGGUGGCGAAGGCGGAUCUCUGGGCCGAUACUGACGCUGAGGAGCGAAAGCGUGGGGAGCGAACAGGAUUAGAUACCCUGGUAGUCCACGCCGUAAACGGUGGGCACUAGGUGUGGGCAACAUUCCACGUUGUCCGUGCCGCAGCU
rnacentral:rRNA from 1 species